AGAGUUUGAUCCUGGCUCAGAUUGAACGCUGGCGGCAGGCCUAACACAUGCAAGUCGGGCGGUAACAGGGAGAAGCUUGCUUCUCCGCUGACGAGCGGCGGACGGGUGAGUAAUGUAUGGGGAUCUGCCUGAUGGCGGGGGAUAACUACUGGAAACAGGUGCUAAUACCGCAUAAUGUCGCAAGACCAAAGAGGGGGACCUUCGGGCCUCUUGCCAUCGGAUGUGCCCAGAUGGGAUUAGCUUGUUGGUGAGGUAAUGGCUCACCAAGGCGACGAUCCCUAGCUGGUCUGAGAGGAUGAUCAGCCACACUGGAACUGAGACACGGUCCAGACUCCUACGGGAGGCAGCAGUGGGGAAUAUUGCACAAUGGGGGAAACCCUGAUGCAGCCAUGCCGCGUGUGUGAAGAAGGCCUUCGGGUUGUAAAGUACUUUCAGCGGGGAGGAAGGCGUUGUGGUUAAUAACCACAGCAAUUGACGUUACCCGCAGAAGAAGCACCGGCUAACUCCGUGCCAGCCGCCGCGGUAAUUC
rnacentral:rRNA from 1 species